AGUGAACGCUGGCGGCAGGCCUAAUACAUGCAAGUCGAACGGCAGCACAGUGGAGCUUGCUCCAUGGGUGGCGAGUGGCGGACGGGUGAGGAAUACAUGGGAAUCUGCCCAGUCGUGGGGGAUAACGUAGGGAAACUUACGCUAAUACCGCAUGCGCCCUUCGGGGAAAGCCGGGGACCGUAAGGCCUGGCGCGAUUGGAUGAGCCCAUGUUCGAUUAGCUAGUUGGCGGGGUAAAGGCCCACCAAGGCGACGAUCGAUAGCUGGUCUGAGAGGAUGAUCAGCCACACUGGAACUGAGACACGGUCCAGACUCCUACGGGAGGCAGCAGUAGGGAAUAUUGGACAAUGGGGGCAACCCUGAUCCAGCCAUGCCGCGUGAGUGAAGAAGGCCCUCGGGUUGUAAAGCUCUUUUGUCCGGAAAGAAAAGCAAUCGGUUAAUACCCGGUUGUUCUGACGGUACCGGAAGAAUAAGCACCGGCUAACUUCGUGCCAGCAGCCGAC
rnacentral:rRNA from 1 species